UACGUAGGGGGCGAGCGUUGUCCGGAGUUACUGGGCGUAAAGGGCAUGCAGGCGGUCGUACGCGUUUUGUGUGACAGCGGGUGGCUUAACUACCCGAGUAUGCGAAAGACGGUAUGACUUGAGGGCUCGAGAGGGACACGGAAUUCCGGGUGGAGUGGUGAAAUGCGUAGAUAUCCGGAGGAACACCAAUGGCGUAGGCAGCUUUCUGGCAAGUACCUGACACUCAUGGACGAAAGCUAGGGGAGCAAACGG
rnacentral:rRNA from 1 species